GAUGAACGCUGGCGGCGUGCCUAAUACAUGCAAGUCGAGCGAACAGACGAGGAGCUUGCUCCUCUGACGUUAGCGGCGGACGGGUGAGUAACACGUGGAUAACCUACCUAUAAGACUGGGAUAACUUCGGGAAACCGGAGCUAAUACCGGAUAAUAUAUUGAACCGCAUGGUUCAAUAGUGAAAGACGGUUUUGCUGUCACUUAUAGAUGGAUCCGCGCCGCAUUAGCUAGUUGGUAAGGUAACGGCUUACCAAGGCAACGAUGCGUAGCCGACCUGAGAGGGUGAUCGGCCACACUGGAACUGAGACACGGUCCAGACUCCUACGGGAGGCAGCAGUAGGGAAUCUUCCGCAAAGGGCGAAAGCUUGACGGAGCAACGCCGCGUGAGUGAUGAAGGUCUUCGGAUCGUAAAACUCUGUUAUUAGGGAAGAACAAAUGUGUAAGUAACUAUGCGCGUCUUGACGGUACCUAAUCAGAAAGCCACGGCUAACUACGUG
rnacentral:rRNA from 1 species